UACAGAGGGUGCGAGCGUUAAUCGGAAUUACUGGGCGUAAAGCGCACGUAGGCGGCUUGGUAUGUCGGGUGUGAAAUCCCCGGGCUCAACCUGGGAACUGCAUCCGAAACUGCCUUGCUAGAGUAUGGGAGAGGGAAGUGGAAUUUCCGGUGUAGCGGUGAAAUGCGCAGAUAUUCGCAAGAACACCAGUGGCGAAGGCGGCUCACUGGCCCGGUACUGACGCUGAGGUGCGAAAGCGUGGGGAGCAAACAGG
rnacentral:rRNA from 1 species